rnacentral:tRNA from 2 species
UGGGGCUUAGCCAAGCGGUAAGGCAACGGUUUUUGGUACCGUCAUCCUAGGUUCGAAUCCUAGAGCCCCAGCCA